GCCUCUGCGCCGCCUUCCUCCCGGGAGCAGCCCGGACGCGCGCGGGCCCAGACCGCCAGGGUUGUCAUGGCAGCAGCUCCAUCCCUGACCGUUACUUUCUCCCAGUGCCGACUCGGAGCUAGCAGGCGGGCAGGCAGCUCUGACUGUGCGCUCAUCCCGACCCCGGUGCAGGGCGAGGGGCGCAGGCGCCCACCAAGUCCCGCUGCGCCCACCAAAUCUGGGAAUCCCUGCGGGGAUGAGUCUGGCCCCUCACAGGGCGCCACUCUCCCCCUGAUAGCUGAGCAAGCCAAGAGAACGUCGCGCCCCUUUCAGUGGCUCCCCAGGAAUCAAAGCGGGGAUGGGGGGUAGCUGAACCAGGCUGCCUGGUCCACCACUCUGCCGCUGGAUUGCACCUAAUCAAGCUACAGUUCUAUGGCUUUCCUGGGCCUAUGCAGAAAGCCAGAAUGAGAAGCUUCCUACUAUGAUGACCUACCUCAGAGACCUUUAUGCCCUUACACUUGAUGUUUAUCGCUCAAGUGGGCAAGUGUGCAUUUCUUCUUACAACACAAUAUGCAAAGUUG